AUUGAACGCUGGCGGCAGGCCUAACACAUGCAAGUCGAACGAGUGGCGGACGGGUGAGUAAUGUCUGGGAAACUGCCUGAUGGAGGGGGCUAACUACUGGAAACGGUAGCUAAUACCGCAUACACUACGAUGCGCACAUACGGGAUUAGCUUGUUGGUGGGGUAAAGGUUCACCGAGGAGACGAUCCCUAGCUGGUCUGAGGGGAUGACCAGCCACACUGGAACUGAGACACGGUCCAGACUCCUACGGGAGGAAGCAGUGGGGAAUAUUGCACAAUGGGCGCAAGCCUGAUGCAGCCAUGCCGCGUGUGUGAAGAAGGCCUUCGGGUUGUAAAGUACUUUCAGCGGGGAGGCGUUACCCGCAGAAGAAGCACCGGCUAACUCCGUGCCAGCAGCCGCGGUAAUUC
rnacentral:rRNA from 1 species